AUGAUGACUUUGGUCAAAUCUUCAGCGUCUUUUGUGUCUUGGGGAAUGAAAUCAGAAGCAUCUUUGCUAGGAGAAAUUAAACGCUUGAGUACAGGCUCGAUCGUUACCUGGUGCUUCAACAUUGCAUACUUGAUGGAAUCAAGAACAUCUUCUGCUGUGAAAACCGCAUCUCCGAGUCUCUGGAUCCACGACUGCAAUUUGGAAUCAUCAACUUCCCUUUCCUUGGCCCGGCUGAUUGCUUCUGAAAUCUGCUCGAGUCGCCACUUGAGCUUCUCGGUGUUGGCCACAAAAUUCUUCUGGUCUUUGUACCGGUCCUUUGCAUGCUGUAUCACAGGGUCGGCGAGCUUGGAAAGGCAGACAGACACGAACCAUCCAGCCACAGCGAGCUCGACCAUCACCAUGGCAGAUCAAAAUUUCUGGAUCUCAGGGGGGUCCUGGAAGAGGAGGAUGAGACCUUCCAGGGCUUCACUGCUCAGUUGGCAGCUUAUGUUGGUUGAUCAAUGGUGUAUGCUUAACUGGCUAUGCGCUUAUCUCAAUUUCUUUAAUCCGACUGGAUGCCUUGACUGUCUGUUCCUAUUCUAUUAUCAUUAUGCUCUGAACAUAGACCCAAUCCAGGGCCGGUGGGUCUGA
rnacentral:rRNA from 1 species